UACAGAGGGGGCAAGCGUUGUUCGGAAUUACUGGGCGUAAAGGGCGCGUAGGCGGCCCACUAAGUCGGACGUGAAAUCCCUCGGCUCAACCGGGGAACUGCGUCCGAUACUGGAGGGCUUGAAUUCGGGAGAGGGAUGCGGAAUUCCAGGUGUAGCGGUGAAAUGCGUAGAUAUCUGGAGGAACACCGGUGGCGAAGGCGGCAUCCUGGACCGAGAUUGACGCUGAUGCGCGAAAGCUAGGGGAGCAAACGGG
rnacentral:rRNA from 1 species